rnacentral:tRNA from 1 species
GGAAUUAUUUAAGUAUAGCUUCUAACUAUUACAAUGGUAUUUUAACCUAGUUCCU